GGAAAAAAAGUUUAGGGAAAGAAUGACAUUGAACAGGAUGGUGUGUGUGUGUGUGUGUUCUCACCAUUCAGGUCCUUUUUUAAAAGGAAAAAGAGAGAAGUUCUGAUGCUAGUGUGCAAGAGGCAGCAAUCCACCCCAAUCAGAUCAAUAUGUAAAGGUAAAGUAAUCCCUAAAUUUGGAAAGGUUGGCAAUAAGUGUUGGAUAAGACUAGUGACCCAUAUAGUCCAGCCUCUUGUUUUCACAGUGGCAUACUAGAGGUGUAUGGGAAGCCAGCAAGCAUAAUGAAUGCAACAGCCUUCUCCCCUCCUGUGGUUCCCAGCAACUGAUAUUCAGAAGCGUUCAACAGUGGAGACAGAACACAGAGAUCAAAGUAAGUAGCCAAAGACAGCCUUGUCCUCCAUGAAUUAAGGUAAAGGUAAAGGUACCCCUGCCCGUACGGGCCAGUCGUGUCCGACUCUAGGGUUGUGCGCCCAUCUCACUUAAGUCAAAUCCUAUUUUAAAAUCAUCCAAGUUUAUGGCCCUCACUGUAUCUUUUGGGAGCAAGUGGCAUAAUUUAACUCACUGGUUCUCAAAGGGUGUGGCAGGAGAUUUUGACAACAGUGGUGAGAAGAUUCAAGGGCAAUCGAAUAUUCAAACAUUACAGUAUAGUAUAGUAUAGUAUCAAAAAAAAAUUGGGGGUGGGUGGUGGCUAUACAACCAGAAAAAGUAGCCGCAACUCUCUUCAAGUGCAUUGGCUUUUCUUCAACAGUAUUCCAUGACAUAUUGCUGUGAACAGACAUUUUCAAUUCUGACAAAUAUGAAAGACCAGAAAAGAGAAAGGAUUCUUUGUGUUGAUGAGGAGAUAAGAGUUUGUUUGUCUAAAACUGGACCUCUCGUUGAGUUUGUAGACAUACUUAAGGUACAUGUGUAAUAGGCUCGUUUAUAUUUUGGAAAUAAUUUGUGGUCUUAUGUAGCUUCAUUGUUUUAUACUUUCUAGAUGUUCUGUGUUUCACAACCGUGAAGAUUCAGGACAUCAGAAAAUUAGCACCCUGCUCUUAAAAAGUAAAGAACAACAACUUGCAAGUGCAUCCCAUUUAAUUCAUUGCUUUGAAAAUAAUCCCUUUAGUUCUUCCCCACUGUGGCUUCCCCUAGCUUCUAAUAAAAUCAGCAAGAGUCCCCACCAAAUUGAUUCUGUGCAAUAAUCUAAUCUGCAUUUCUCAUCGC